GCUCCGGUGUUCCCCUGCCUUUUCAGUUCUGAUGAUGAAAAGAGGUGGUGGUAAAACUGAAACAUUCUUCUUCCCCAGCAAUCCAUAGCUCGGAGCCCCGGUUCUCUGCACAGCUCGUCCGUGUCCGUCCAGCCGCUGUGGAUGACGCUCGCAGCGAGCGCACUCUCGUGCCGCCUCCCACUCCCCACCAAAGGUUGGAAAUGGCAAAGCACGGUUGCUACAUGGAAACAUAAGCGUUCUGGCCGACAUAAUGCGGUCAUAACAUUUGCGACAAAGAGUACUAAAAGGGAAAGGAGAAAUUUUCAGAAGAAGUCAAAAGAUUCACUGUUGACAAGUGAUGAAGCUUCUUCAGGCGGUGGAGGAAGCGCCAGCACAAGCCUCAAGGUCAAUAGCGAGGAUGUUGCUGCUACUGAUGAUCAAAUUUCAGGUGCCCCAAGGACUGCUGUUCUUCAGGCAUACACUAUCACAUCAGGCUUGCUGCUUGCUGGAGGACUUCUGCUUCGCCAGGCAUCACACCUUGCAUCUUUAAAUGGAUGGCCAAUUUCUGAUCCUACAGAUGUUUCAUUCAAUUUUGAAACAUGGCAUCUCGAGUUGGUAGCAGGGCUUGUAAUAGUAAUCUCCUCUAGCAGAUACAUUCUGCUACAAACAUGGUCAGAUUUCAGAGAUUCCAGUGAAGCUGCAAAUACACAAAUCCUUAGUUCGCUAGAGCCUUUGGACUACAUUGUUGUUGCUUGUCUCCCUGGGAUAAGUGAGGAGUUGCUCUUUCCAGGGGCACUGAUGCCUAUCUUGGGAUUGAACUGGAUUAGUGCCCUUAUAAUCGGAACCAUUUUUGGUGUUCUUCACUUGGGCAAUGGCAGGAAAUAUUCAUUUGCGAUCUGGGCAACAUUUGUUGGCUUUGCCUAUGGUAUAGGAGCUAUAGCUUCCUCGAGCAUUAUAGUUCCAAUGGCUUCUCACUCCGUAAACAAUAUUAUUGGAGGUUUACUUUGGUGCUUUACCAAGAACUCACAAAAAUAAAUAUAUAAUACCCUCAGUAGUCAUCCCUGGAAGAUCUUGCACUAGUUUAGCCUCACCUUACUAGUUCUGUUGUUACUUAUAACUACUAGCGUUCCACUGUUGCUUCAUUCAUGUAUUUUCAGUAGCUUGUAGUAAUUUUCCAUGUUCUCGUUUGCCUACGACCAUAAGGAAAAUGAAGUUAAACAUCACCACUGACCUAUGGAAAACAAAAUGCAGGGUCAUGAGCAUUUAAAACUCAACCGUUGAGCCUUUAGCAGUAAAUUACUGACGAGUGUUGGUAAAAGCACAUAGAAUUUCAAAUGGAAACUAAGGAUCAGGAACAUGCAGGCCAUGUUUUGUUAAGCCCUUGCCAUGGGUUGCUUGCUACGAAUAUGCAAAGCUGUAAUGUUCUCUUCUGGGUGAUGAAGAAUGCUUUUAUGUAUGUAUAUAUAGGCCUGAUAGGAUUAGUUACUGCAUUGCAGCGGUACUAGCUAACUGUAUGUAUGAGCUGUCUUGAAACAUCACAACUUAUGGCCAGUGUAUGAUCCAAUUUUCAACUAUCCAAGCACCCAGCUUAUAAAAGGAUAUGAGAGGGCUUCCCUAGCCACUACACCUUAUAAUGAGCUAGCUGAGUGAGUUGUCCUAAGCUGUAGGUUGCACUUACACCUGCAAUUAAAAUUCAUAAUUCGCUGUUU